rnacentral:tRNA from 1 species
ACACCACGGGGGUUUAACUCCCCCCGCUUCU